rnacentral:rRNA from 1 species
UGCAAGUCGAACGAGGCUGGGGGGGCAACUCUCCAGUUGAGUGGCGGACGGGUGAGUAACACGUGGGUAACCUGCCCGGAAGUGGGGAAUACCUCGGGGAAACUCGAGCUAAUACCGCAUGACAUCUUUGGGACGAGAGUCCUGACGAUCAAAGCGGGGUCGCAAGAUCUCGCGCUACCGGAUGGGCCCGCGCCCGAUUAGCUAGUUGGCGAGGUAACGGCUCACCAAGGCUUCGAUCGGUAACCGGCCUGAGAGGGCGAUCGGUCACACCGGAACUGAGACACGGUCCGGACUCCUACGGGAGGCAGCAGUGGGGAAUCUUGCGCAAUGGGCGAAAGCCUGACGCAGCAACGCCGCGUGGAGGAUGAAGGCCCUUGGGUUGUAAACUCCUGUCGGCUGGGAAGAAAUCGCGCGGUGCUCAUACCAUCGCGCGUUGACUGUACCAGCAAAGGAAGCCCCGGCUAACUCUGUGCCAGCAGCUGCGGUAAUACAGAGGGGGCUAGCGUUAUUCGGAAUUAUUGGGCGUAAAGGGCGCGUAGGCGGCCCUGCGUGUCUUCCGUGAAAUCCCUCGGCUUAACUGAGGACGUGCGGAAGAAACUGCAGGGCUCGAGUCCGGGAGAGGGGGGUGGAAUUCCCAGUGUAGCGGUGAAAUGCGUAGAUAUUGGGAGGAACACCGGUGGCGAAGGCGGCCCCCUGGACCGGUUCUGACGCUGAGGCGCGAAAGCGUG